GGUAAUGAAUAAAAGACAAUCAAUAUUAGUAUGGGUGUUAAACAAAGAGCAGGUCUUGUCUUUUAUGUAAGCGCAUGCCACGCAUUAAAAGGAGGCAGAGCCUCUUUUCUCUAGGCUAUUACGGAAAAAACGGUGGUUUUCUCUCAAUUUCUCCUUGGUUCUUCGUAUAAAAAAAAAAAUGCUGAUCUAUGAAAAUCUAGCCAUUCGAUUUUAGAUCCGACUUCGGUAACGUGAUCCUCAAAGCUCGAUCUACGUUUUGACCGAACGUUUUGAGAUUUUCUGUGGUUUGGAGUUCGUAGGAGCUUCCCGAACAUUUGGUCUUUGCUUGACAAAUUUUUGUAAUGCAUUGUAUGGGGGUGUCUAGGAGACCUAGUGCUUAAUAUCCGCGCAGCCAAGACAUUGAUGCUUUGGUUGCAGGUUCUGCGGAUAUAGAUAAUGACUCGUCCACCUAGCGUAUGGGAUAUUAUGAUUGGAGCACAUCGCGACAGUUAUAUGUCAUAGACUCAUGGGUAGUCUGCAUUUGGGUAUUUAAUUUAUGGCUCGUGUCAUACGUGACAUAUGUAUUUGUUGAGCCUGUUAUUUAGUAUGUAAUUAGUGUAAUAUGUUUUAUAAGCUUUAAUCAGUUAGACAUGUAAAUGGCUCUUGUCGUCGAUAACAGUUAUAUAUUAGAUGUGUUUCCGCUAUUUUA